rnacentral:rRNA from 1 species
AUACGGGGGGUGCAAGCGUUGUCCGGAAUCAUUGGGCGUAAAGGGUUCGUAGGUGGAAUUAUAAGUUUGGUGUGAAAGCCCACAGCUCAACUGUGGAACUGCACAGGAUACUGUUUUUCUUGAGUUAUAGAGGGGUUUGUGGAAUUUCUGGUGUAGAGGUGAAAUUUGUAGAGAUCAGAAAGAACACCGGUGGCGAAGGCGACAAACUGGCUAUUAACUGACACUGAGGAACGAAAGCGUGGGGAGCGAACAGGAUUAGAUACCCUAGUAGUCC